AUUGAACGCUGGCGGCAUGCCUUACACAUGCAAGUCGAACGGUAACGGGCCUUCGGGUGCCGACGAGUGGCGAACGGGUGAGUAAUGCAUCGGAACGUACCUUUCAGUGGGGGAUAACGUAGCGAAAGUUACGCUAAUACCGCAUAUUCUGUGAGCAGGAAAGCAGGGGAUCGCAAGACCUUGCGCUGAUUGAGCGGUCGAUGGCAGAUUAGCUAUGUGGUGGGGUAAAGGCUAACCAAGGCGACGAUCUGAAGCGGGUCUGAGAGGAUGAUCCGCCACACUGGAACUGAGACACGGUCCAGACUCCUACGGGAGGCAGCAGUGGGGAAUUUUGGACAAUGGGGGCAAACCUGAUCCAGCCAUGCCGCGUGAGUGAAGAAGGCCUUCGGGUUGUAAAGCUCUUUCGGCCGGGAAGAAAUCGCAUGGGCUAAUACCCUGUGUGGAUGACGGUACCGGAAUAAGAAGCACCGGCUAACUACGUGCCAGCCGCCGCGGUAAAAC
rnacentral:rRNA from 1 species